AAUGAACGUUGGCGGCGUGGAUUAGGCAUGCAAGUCGAGCGUGUACCCCGCAAGGGGGAAAGCGGCGAAAGGGACAGUAACACGUAGAUUACCUACCCUCUGGUUCAGAAUAGCUGCGGGAAACUGCAGGUAAUGCUGAAUAAAGUCUCCGGACCAAAGGUGUGAUUCCACCGGAGGAUGGGUCUGCGUCCUAUUAGCUUGUUGGUGGGGUAACGGCCUACCAAGGCAAUGAUGGGUAGUGGGUGUGAGAGCACGACCCGCGUCACUGGGACUGAGAUACUGCCCAGACACCUACGGGUGGCUGCAGUCGAGGAUCUUCGGCAAUGGGCGCAAGCCUGACCGAGCGACGCCGCGUGCGGGAUGAAGGCCUUCGGGUUGUAAACCGCUGUCAGAGGGGAUGAAAUACAGGUGGGUUCUCCCAUCUGCUUGACAUAUCCUCAGAGGAAGUACGGGCUAAGUUCGUGCCAGCAGCCGCAGUAAAAC
rnacentral:rRNA from 1 species